ACACGGGAGGCAGCAGUGAGGAAUAUUGGUCAAUGGGCGCGAGCCUGAACCAGCCAAGUAGCGUGAAGGUUGACUGCCCUACGGGUUGUAAACUUCUUUUAUAAAGGAAUAAAGUGAGGCACGUGUGCCUUUUUGUAUGUACUUUAUGAAUAAGGAUCGGCUAACUCCGUUCCAGCAGCCGCGGUAAUACGGAGGAUCCGAGCGUUAUCCGGAUUUAUUUGGUUUAAAGGGAGCGUAGAUGGGUUGUUAAGUCAGUUGUGAAAAUUUUCUGCUCAACCGUAAAAUUGCAAGUGAUACUGGCAGUCUUGAGUACAGUGGAGGUAGGCGGAAUUCGUGGUGUAGCGGUGAAACGCUUAGAUAUCACGAAGAACUCCGAUUGCGAAGGCAGCUUACUAAACUGCCACUGACAUUGAUGCUCGAAAGUGUGGGUAUCAAACAGGAUUAGAUACCCCGGUAGUC
rnacentral:rRNA from 1 species